GAUGAACGCUGGCGGCGUGCCUAAUACAUGCAAGUCGAGCGAACAGACGAGGAGCUUGCUCCUCUGACGUUAGCGGCGGACGGGUGAGUAACACGUGGAUAACCUACCUAUAAGACUGGGAUAACUUCGGGAAACCGGAGCUAAUACCGGAUAAUCUAUUGAACCGCAUGGUUCAAUAGUGAAAGACGGUUUUGCUGUCACUUCUAGAUGGAUCCGCGCCGCAUUAGCUAGUUGGUAAGGUAACGGCUUACCAAGGCAACGAUGCGUAGCCGACCUGAGAGGGUGAUCGGCCACACUGGAACGGAGACACGGUCCAGACGCCUACGGGAGGCAGCAGUAGGGAAUCGUCCGCAAUGGGCGAAAGCCUGACGGAGCAACGCCGCGUGAGUGAGGAAGGUCUUCGGAUCGUAAAACUCUGUUAUUAGGGAAGAACAAAUGUGUAAGUAACUAUGCACGUCUUGAAGGUACAUAAUCAGAAAGCCACGGCUAACUACGUG
rnacentral:rRNA from 1 species